rnacentral:rRNA from 1 species
UACGAAGGGGGCUAGCGUUGUUCGGAAUUACUGGGCGUAAAGCGCACGUAGGCGGAUAUUUAAGUCAGGGGUGAAAUCCCUGGGCUCAACCCAGGAACUGCGUCCGAUACUGGUUGGCUUGAAUCCGGGAGAGGGAUGUGGAAUUCCAGGUGUAGCGGUGAAAUGCGUAGAUAUCUGGAGGAACACCGGUGGCGAAGGCGACAUCCUGGACCGGUAUUGACGCUGAGGCGCGAAAGCCAGGGGAGCAAACGGG